CUAGCUGUUUCUUCGGUGGCUGAUGUGCACAUUUGAACAUUAAUAUGGCACAGCUUGAUUUCGCCGAAAAGCGUCGAAGGAUACUUACAAUCACGGUGAAGAUCGAUAUGAAGAAAAUUUGCAGUUUCUUCGGCGGCGGUGCACUACUACGUAUAGUCUGAAGAUUGACACAACUCGGUUUCACGGGAACAAUCGACGCUUAAAUCUUGCCAUAAUAUCGGAAAAACAAAAAACGUAAAUAAUGUCAACCCGGAGGACGAUUGGCAGCAUCAUUAAGAAGCUCAUCGGAAUAACAACAAUAAAUGUCGCAAGGCUGUGUUUGAUUAAUACUAUAAUUUUUUGAACAGUAGUACAGUAUAUUAUGAAUAUUUACUUAAAUUUUAUUUAAUUUUUAUGGUUUUUUUUUCAGAUAAUAUACUGUACUACGGUUUUAGGUGUUCUUUUUAUUUUAAUAAUACGUUGAUAAAUUACCAAUUUUUUCUUAUCACAAAGCUAGUUCGUCUUUGUGUAUGUUUAAAUUUAUAUUUUUUUAUAGUUAUUGUGCUGUUUAACUUUCUUAUAAAAGAGAGUGAGGAAUUAAAAAGGUGGCCACCGAACAGAAAGUUAAACUGCAAUAUACUAUAAUCUUUUUAGUUCGUGUUUACAUUUUUAACUGAUAAAUUAUGAAUAUAAAAUUACAAAUUAAUUUAAAUUCAAAAAUAAAAGAACACCAACAUAGAUUUCUUAAACAUUAAAAUUUUACUAUAAAUUUAAAUUAUAUUUAAUCAGCACAUUAGUUGAAGUUUUAUAGGAACCGAACAUUUGGCUGGAUCAUGGACUACCCACCGACGGAGAAUUUGUCAUUGAGCUGAAGGAAAAUGUGUCAGCACUCGGCUUCGUUUCAACCCGGAGGAAGAUUGGCAGCAUCAAUAAGAAGCUCAUCUUAAUGUCAACUGUCCAAAUGAAGAAGAAUUUGUCACAAAGCUGAUGGGAAAUGUGUCAGCACUCGGCUUCGUUUCAACCCGGAGGAAGAUUGGCAGCAUCAAUAAGAAGCUCAUCUUAAUGUCAACUGUCCAAAUGAAGAAGAAUUUGUCACAAAGCUGAUGGGAAAUGUGUCAGCACUCGGCUUCGUUUCAACCCGGAGGAAGAUUGGCAGCAUCAAUAAGAAGCUCAUCUUAAUGUCAACUGUCCAAAUGAAGAAGAAUUUGUCACAAAGCUGAUGGGAAAUAUGUCAGCACUCGGCUUCGUUUCAACCCGGAGGAAGAUUGGCAGCAGCAAAAAGAAAUUCAACUGAUAAUCAACUGUCCAAAGGAUUUUGAAGAAGAAUUCGUCACAAAGCUGAUGGGAAAUGUGUCAGCACUCGGCUUCGUUUCAACCCGGAGGAAGAUUGGCAGCAUCAAUAAGAAGCUCAUCUUAAUUUAGUUGUCCCCCCUUUACGCAUUAGCGCUCAUCUCUCAUCCACUCAUCCAACACAUUCACUAUCGCCGGCCGGCAACACACAUAUAUUAUACACAUUAACCGUUUUAUAUUAUAUAAUAGUAUUAUUAAUAUCCACAUAAUUUAAGUUAUUGUAUAUUUUUUUUUUAUUAUUUGAAUGCAUUCAUAUGAUCAGUGGCGUAUUUAGGAAUUUUAGGAUAAGGGCAACACAUAUUUUGCCGCCUCCCCCAAUAAAAAAAUACUAAAAAAAUUCUACGCCGCUUUAAUGGUGAAACUGUUAAUACCAUAGAACACCAUGUUAUAUAAAUACUAUAGUAUUCUAACCUCUAUGGCACACAUUUGUUGUGAAAAAUAUUAUUGAUUGACGUCUCUAACUUGCCACUCUGGGCAGCGGGACCCAAAGCCCCUACCUAAAUACGCCACUGCAUAUGAUGCGUUCUCGCUUACGAUGUGGAUUAGGCCUACUGGGGAGACCACAAUAAAAAAAACGCGCCUCAUGUAAUACCUCAUAAAGUUAUUAAACAAU